rnacentral:rRNA from 1 species
GGAGUCUAGCAUGUGCGCGAGUCAUUGGGACACGUUGCUAUGCCUAAAGGCAAAAUGAAAGUGAAGGUCCGCCUUGCGCGGACCGAGGGAGGAUGGGUGACCGGUCUCGGCCGCCGCCCCGCACUCCCGGGGCGUCUCUUUCUCAUCACGAGAUGAGGCGCACCAAGAGCGUACACGCUGGUACCCGAAAGAUGGUGAACUAUGCCUGGUCAGGACGAAGUCAGGGGAAACCCUGAUGGAGGUCCGUAGCGAUUCUGACGUGCAAAUCGAUCGUCUGAACUGGGUAUAGGGGCGAAAGACUAAUCGAACCAUCUAGUAGCUGGUUCCCUCCGAAGUUUCCCUCAGGAUAGCUGGUGCUCGUUGCGUACGAGUUUCAUCCGGUAAAGCGAAUGAUUAGAGGCAUUGGGGUCGAAACGGCCUCAACCUAUUCUCAAACUUUAAAUGGGUGAGAUCUCCGGCUUGCUUGAAUGCAUGAAGCCGCGAGACUCGAAUCAGAGUGCCAAGUGGGCCAUUUUUGGUAAGCAGAACUGGCGCUGUGGGAUGAACCAAACGCAGAGUUAAAGCGCCUAAAUCGACGCUUAUGGGAUACCAUGAAAGGCGUUGGUAACUUAAGACAUCAGGACGGUGGCCAUGGAAGUC